UACGAAGGGGGCUAGCGUUGCUCGGAAUCACUGGGCGUAAAGCGCACGUAGGCGGAUCUUUAAGUCAGGGGUGAAAUCCUGGAGCUCAACUCCAGAACUGCCUUUGAUACUGGGGAUCUCGAGUCCGGAAGAGGUGAGUGGAACUGCGAGUGUAGAGGUGAAAUUCGUAGAUAUUCGCAAGAACACCAGUGGCGAAGGCGGCUCACUGGCCCGGUACUGACGCUGAGGUGCGAAAGCGUGGGGAGCAAACAGGG
rnacentral:rRNA from 1 species